UUCCUUUUCCACAGAAAUGUUCUAUUUAUAAGACUAAAUUAGGUAUGUAAUUUUAUCGUUUUAUCUCUGUAUUAUACACAAACAUCCACACAAACACACAUACUUUAACUGUGUAGUAGGUUUUUUUUAUACUUUUUUAUUUUAUUUUGAUCAACUUUCGUUUCAGUUGUUUUGUGAGAUAUGUUAGAACACGUUGAAUGUCUUACUAAUUAUGCCUAUUUCAACUAUGUUUUUAUUGUGUGCUUCUAUUUUUGUGGAAUUUUGUCUUUAUUGUUUCCGCGUAAUGCGUUGUUGGGACAUAGAAAUAUUGGGCGUCCUUAAAUACCGUCCUUCACUCCGUCCACACGUCUGUCCGUCCGGUCUUGUUUAAUAGCGCGCUCUUACUAAUAUCUACAAUUCUUGCCAAAUUUUUAUAAAACUUAUAACGCAGGUUUACAUCAACAAUGUAUUCGACUAUAUAGUUCGAUAUAUAAGCAGUUCUGAUCAUGUACAUGAUGUAUUUAUAAAAGAGAUAGAAUGUGUAUAAGCCAUUUAGAAUCAUUAAUUGGAAAAUCGCAUUGUCAGCGGAAUCAUUUGUACAAUUUGUGACAGAACUUUAUAAAACUUAUACGGUAGGUUAUAUUAUUAAUAUCUAAUACGAGUGUGAAAAGCAAUGCCAAUCGAUAAUUUUUAAUAGACGUGUUACGAAAUUGUAUCUACUCGACGCUGAGGUUGACAAAAAAUUAGACUUUAAAUGCCGGUAUCGGAUCAAAGCAAACAAGUUAUUUAAAUAUUUUAAUUAUCUGUGCAUCAUGGUGUUAAACUGCAUAGUAAUGAUAAAAAGAAAACAAACAAAAAUACUGAACUCAGAAGAAAAUUUAAUCGGAAAGUCCAUUAUAACAUGGCAAAAUCAAAAGACAAAACAGAUCAAUAACGAAUGGACAAGAACUGUCAUGUCCGCUUAUAUUUACUUCAAUAACACACGUCUUUUUAAAAACUUUAUCAUAGCUAAUUUCCUGUUGAAUAUUCCUUAAGGAACAAAUAUGAUAUAAUAAUUAUUCCGUGAAGAAUAAAUGAUAUAUACCCCGUUUAACUUUGGAAAUACAUUUCCUUGGAUUGUUUCUUUUGUUGACUAGUAUAUACUAAUCUGUUUGAUACCUACUAAGAAAAAGAUUGAUUUCCUUUAUAUUAUUUUCAUGUAAAAUGUGACCGGUUUGACCCAACAACAUCUAUAUAUAUUCCUGCAACCAAGUGAAACUAACAAUUUUUAGUAUGGCGUUCAUUAUCAUCUAUAUUUGUUUAGGGCCAGCUAGAAUUUCUCGCUAUUGAAGAUGUUGGUGACCCUCUGCUGUUGUUUUUUAUUUGGGCGGGUUGUUUGUCUCUUUGACACAUUCCCCAUUUCCAUUCUCAAUUUUAAAGUUUCAAAAUAUUCCGUUUUGUAACUUUCUGAAGUAAUGUACGAGGUAUGCCCCUUGGAAAAAAAAUUGUAACGAAAAUUGCCUUACAUUUGCCUUGAAGCGUUCAUUUCUUUAAGAUUAUUAUAAAAAGUUUUUAGAAUGACGAUAACCGAAAAAAAGUUGUUUUUGUAAUUGUCCUUGUUCCUCAACAGAUAAAAAAAACUUUGGUCAUCUUCUUUUUCUUUCUUUUUUAAAAUUUAAUGUUGUUUUUAUACAUGUACCAUGCAUACUCUUUAAAUAAAGUUUAACAACAUUUUAUGUGUUUUAGAAUUACAAAAACUAUAUGUGAAAAACUUCUAAAUUUUAUAGUCGAAGUGUUUCGAGUAGUUUUUGGGGAGUAUAGUUUCAAGUUUAACAUAUAUGUUUCUACCCUCGUGUGGAUCGUAUACUUGGUAAAUUAUAAGAACGACAAGUAUGCGGUGAUUGGAAGAUGAUUUUGGCCGCAGUGAAUUACUUAUUAUCGAGCAAAAAUAUUUAUAUUACGAUACAAAAACUGGUAUUUGCUGUUAGUUCGCUAAGCAUGCUGCAAAAAAGAGUUAUUGACUCGGAGGUCAGAAGCUUAUAGUAAGCCAACACGUCUUAUGUUAUGUAUGUCAUUUUCUUAAAAUUAGCUGUAAAAAUAAUGAUAUUGAAUUUAAAUGAAACUUGAACUUUAAAUUAUUAUUAAAGGCCUUAAAGAUAAAUUAAAUUAUAACCAAUAAAGUAUGCGAGACAUUUCAGAAUAUAUUAGAUAAAAUUGAGAAUGGAAUUGGGGAAUGUGAAAAAGAGACAACAACCCGACCAUAGAAAAAACACAACAGUAUUCAUGUAAGUACAUGCAAUCUAUUUUAGGAUUAUGGCCACCAAUUGGGGUAUUUGUGGUAUUUGUGAAAACCUUCAGAUUACCAAACCUUCAGUAGUAUGGUGUUCCGAAUGUGACGAAGGACUUUGUGGAGAGUGUAAGAAACAUCAUGCAGUUUCCAAGGCAUCAAAAAACCAUGAAACCGUUUCUAUCGCCAAAUACAAAAACUUACCCACCGAAGUCCUGCAAAUCUCUCAGACCUGCAAACUUCAUAAUGAGAAAUACGAGCUGUUUUGUGCAAAACACGAUUGUCCUUGCUGUAAGAAAUGUGUGAAAUCUCACAACGAUUGUAAAGGUUUAACUGACAUAAAUGAACUCAUAAAAAACGUAAAAACUUCAAACGCAUUUAAUGAAAUCGAACAAACCCUGCAGGAAGUCGUCGAGAAUAUUAAACGACUAAGCACAAACAGGAAUGAAAAUUUAAAAUCUAUAGAAAACAAGAAAAGAGAAAUUGAAGCAGCAAUAAAACAAACCAGGAUACAAAUCGUUAAUCACCACCUUGAUAAACUUCAGGAUGACUUGAUUAAAGAACUAAUGACAGUUGAACAAAGAGAAAAAAGCAAAAUAGAAAAAUUGUUGACUUCUCUAAAAAGAAGGAAAAAGAGAUCAGUGAAGAAGUACAAGAAAAAUUUGCCAGUAUUAAACAGCAUGCGUCCGAACUUCAAACAUUUUUAACAAUGAAAGAUAUCGAAAAAAAUAUUGCAGGCGAAGAAAUAUUUAUUCAAUCGAUUGCCACAAGUGACUCCACAAAUCAAGUCAAUAUUUCAUGUCAGAUUAACAAGUCUUUGCAACAAAUUACAGAUAGCGUGCAGAAGUUUGGGGAAAUUAAUGUUUGUUCUGAUCCAUGUGAUUUUUCGAUUCACAAACGGAAGGACAGACAAGCCCAG
rnacentral:lncRNA from 1 species